rnacentral:rRNA from 1 species
AUUGAACGCUGGCGGCAUGCCUUACACAUGCAAGUCGAACGGCAGCACGGGGGCAACCCUGGUGGCGAGUGGCGAACGGGUGAGUAAUAUAUCGGAACGUGCCCUAGAGUGGGGGAUAACGUCGCGAACGUUACGCUAAUACCGCAUACGAUCUAGGGAUGAAAGUGGGGGAUUGCAAGACCUCAUGCUCAUGGAGCGGCCGAUAUCUGAUUAGCUAGUUGGUGGGGUAAAGGCCUACCAAGGCGACGAUCAGUAGCUGGUCUGAGAGGACGAUCAGCCACACUGGAACUGAGACACGGUCCAGACUCCUACGGGAGGCAGCAGUGGGGAAUUUUGGACAAUGGGGGCAACCCUGAUCCAGCAAUGCCGCGUGAGUGAAGAAGGCCUUCGGGUUGUAAAGCUCUUUUGUCAGGGAAGAAACGGUGAGUGCUAAUAUCGCUUGCUAAUGACGGUACCUGAAGAAUAAGCACCGGCUAACUACGUGCCAGCAGCCGCCGUAA